UACGAAGGGGGCUAGCGUUGCUCGGAAUGACUGGGCGUAAAGGGUGCGUAGGCGGGUCUUUAAGUCAGGGGGGAAAUCCUGGAGCUCAACUCCAGAACUGCCCUUGAUACUGAAGAUCUUGAGUUCGGGAGAGGUGAGUGGAACUGCGAGUGUAGAGGUGAAAUUCGUAGAUAUUCGCAAGAACACCAGUGGCGAAGGCGGCUCACUGGCCCGAUACUGACGCUGAGGCACGAAAGCGUGGGGAGCAAACAGG
rnacentral:rRNA from 1 species